UACAGAGGGUGCAAGCGUUGUUCGGAAUUAUUGGGCGUAAAGCGCGUAUAGGCGGCCGUGCAAGUCGGGUGUGAAAGCCCUCGGCUCAACCGAGGAAGUGCGCCCGAAACUGCAUGGCUUGAGUACCGGAGAGGAUGGCGGAAUUCCCCAAGUAGAGGUGAAAUUCGUAGAUAUGGGGAGGAACACCGGUGGCGAAGGCGGCCAUCUGGACGGAUACUGACGCUGAGACGCGAAAGCGUGGGGAGCAAACAGG
rnacentral:rRNA from 1 species